rnacentral:rRNA from 1 species
GCAUAUCAAUAAGCGGAGGAAAAGAAACCAACCGGGAUUGCCCCAGUAACGGCGAGUGAAGCGGCAAGAGCUCAAAUUUGAAAUCUGGCCCCUCCGGGGUCCGAGUUGUAAUUUGCAGAGGAUGCUUCGGGUGCGGCCCCUGUCUAAGUGCCCUGGAACGGGCCGUCAGAGAGGGUGAGAAUCCCGUCUUGGGCAGGGUGCCCGUGCCCGUGUGAAGCUCCUUCGACGAGUCGAGUUGUUUGGGAAUGCAGCUCUAAAUGGGUGGUAAAUUUCAUCUAAAGCUAAAUACCGGCCGGAGACCGAUAGCGCACAAGUAGAGUGAUCGAAAGAUGAAAAGCACUUUGAAAAGAGAGUUAAACAGCACGUGAAAUUGUUGAAAGGGAAGCGCUUGCGACCAGACUCGGCCCCGGGGUUCAGCCAGCACUCGUGCUGGUGUACUUCCCCGGGGGCGGGCCAGCGUCGGUUUGGGCGGCCGGUCAAAGGCCCCAGGAAUGUGUCGCCCUCCGGGGCGUCUUAUAGCCUGGGGUGCAAUGCGGCCAGCCCGGACCGAGGAACGCGCUUCGGCACGGACGCUGGCGUAAUGGUCGCAAACGACCCGUCUUGAAACACGGACCAAGGAGUCUAACAUCUACGCGAGUGUUCGGGUGUCAAACCCGUACGCGCAGUGAAAGCGAACGGAGGUGGGAGCCCCUCACGGGGCGCACCAUCGACCGAUCCUGAUGUCUUCGGAUGGAUUUGAGUAAGAGCGUAGCUGUGGGGACCCGAAAGAUGGUGAACUAUGCCUGAAUAGGGCGAAGCCAGAGGAAACUCUGGUGGAGGCUCGCAGCGGUUCUGACGUGCAAAUCGAUCGUCAAAUUUGGGUAUAGGGGCGAAAGACUAAUCGAACCAUCUGGUAGCUGGUUCCUGCCGA